AGAGUUUGAUCAUGGCUCAGAGCGAACGCUGGCGGCAGGCUUAACACAUGCAAGUCGAGCGGGCGUAGCAAUACGUCAGCGGCAGACGGGUGAGUAACGCGUGGGAACGUACCUUUUGGUUCGGAACAACACAGGGAAACUUGUGCUAAUACCGGAUAAGCCCUUACGGGGAAAGAUUUAUCGCCGAAAGAUCGGCCCGCGUCUGAUUAGCUAGUUGGUGUGGUAACGGCGCACCAAGGCGACGAUCAGUAGCUGGUCUGAGAGGAUGAUCAGCCACAUUGGGACUGAGACACGGCCCAAACUCCUACGGGAGGCAGCAGUGGGGAAUAUUGGACAAUGGGCGCAAGCCUGAUCCAGCCAUGCCGCGUGAGUGAUGAAGGCCCUAGGGUUGUAAAGCUCUUUUGUGCGGGAAGAUAAUGACGGUACCGCAAGAAUAAGCCCCGGCUAACUUCGUGCCAGCAGCCGCGGUAAUACGAAGGGGGCUAGCGUUGCUCGGGAUCACUGGGCGUAAAGGGUGCGUAGGCGGGUCUUUAAGUCAGGGGUGAAAUCCUGGAGCUCAACUCCAGAACUGCCUUUGAUACUGAGGAUCUUGAGUUCGGGAGAGGUGAGUGGAACUGCGAGUGUAGAGGUGAAAUUCGUAGAUAUUCGCAAGAACACCAGUGGCGAAGGCGGCUCACUGGCCCGAUACUGACGCUGAGGCACGAAAGCGUGGGGAGCAAACAGGAUUAGAUACCCCGGUAGUCC
rnacentral:rRNA from 1 species